rnacentral:lncRNA from 1 species
CAUUCUUGUAACCCAGGCUGGAGUGCAGUGGCGUGAUCUCAGCUCACUGCAACCUCUGCCUACUGGGUUCAAGCAAUUCUCCUGCCUGAUUCUCCCAAGUAGCUGGGAUUACAGGUGCACCACCAUGCUGGCUAAUUUUUUGUAUUUUUAGUAGAGAUGGGGUUUCACCAUGUUGGUCAGGCUGGUCUUGAACUCCUGACCUCAAAUGAUCCGCCCACCUCGGCCUCCCAAAAUGCUGGGAUUACAGGUGUGAGCCACCGUGCCCAGCCUAAGGCACACAAUUUGCAAAGGAAAUUGAGGCUCUCGCACAAAUCCAGUCCACCCUGUACUUAGACCCAACAUGCAGGAGGUGUUGACUCUCAUCCCUUGACUCAGGACAUGUGUGUAAUUGUUAAUGUCAUCAUAAGACCUUUCGACAAGUGUAAUUGUGACAUAUACCUUGGCCCAGCAUCUGAGUUAUUUGUUCUUUCCUGGGUCCAGCUCACAGUGCCAUAUCACUGGACCCAGACCCUUGGUAAUGUGAUUAUAUUCUGCCUUGAUAAAGCCCACAGGGGUCAUUGUGACAUCGCUGGGCAUUACACCUAGGUGAUUCGAGUCUCCUCUUCUGCCUUGGUGCUGCCCACAGGUGUAUUGUGACAUAUUGCUGGGCGUAUGUUAUGUGACUCUUUUGCUUGUGCCCUAAACACUUAGGCCGUUGUAACAUUGUUGAGUGCAACACCCACAUGAUGUAACGCUUCAUCCUGGACCUGUCUACAGAGGGCAUUGUAAUAUAUGUCUUCACCAAUCACCCAGGAAAUGUGACUUUUCAUUCCUGCCUGUUCUGUACUCACAGGGGGUAUUGGGACAUAUUGGGCCCAGCACCUAGCUGAUGUGACUUUUCUUUUAUCUAGGUUCUGCCAACAAAGGAGAUUGUGACACAUUGCUGGGCCUAACACUACGGUGAUGUUACUUACUUGCUUUGGCUGUGCCCUUGGAAGGCAUUGAGACAUACUGCUGUGCCCAGCACCAAGAUGUAACGUGACUCUUCUGCUUCAGGCCUGCCAAAAGAAAAGAUUGUGACAGAUCACUGGACCCAGCACCUAGGUGAUGUGACUCUCCUCAUUUGCCUGAGACCUGCAUAUUUUAGAUAUUGUGACAUAUAACUGGAACAAACACCUAGGGGUUGGAAGGCUCCUGCCUGAGUCCCUCCCACAGGAGGCCUUGUGAUUUUUUUUGUUUUUUGUUUUUUUUGAGAUGGAGUUUUGUUCUUGUUGCCCAGACUGGCAUGCGGUGGCGUGACCUCGGCCCACUGCAACCUCCGCCUCCCGGGUUCAAGUGGUUCUCCUGCCUCAACCUCCUGAGUAGCUGGGAUUACAGGCAUCUGCCACCAUGCCCAGCUAAUUUUCUAUUUUUAGUAGAGACGGGGUUUCUCCAUGUUGGUCAGGCUGGUCUCAAACUCCUGAAAUCAGGUGAUCCACCUGCCUUGGCCUCCCAAAAUGCUGGGUUUACAGUUGUGAGCCACUGCGCCCAGCUUUGUGAUGUAUUUCUGCAUCCAUCAUGCAGGAGAUAAAACUGUAUUUUUGCCUGCAUUCUGCCCACAGGGAAGAUUUUAACAUAUCGUUG